ACAUCAGCCAGCGGAGUAUUUUUUUUUAUCACGGAGUAGUUAUCAACUACUUUAUUAAAUUUAUAUAUUAUUAUUUUAAUAUUUAUUAUUUACGUUAUUUCACUGUGACUGUUGUGAUUUGUGUAUAAUAUUAUAUUUAAUUAGUUAUAAUUUAGUUAAACAAAAUACUUUUAAAAUGAGCGAAAAGAAGAAAACAGUAACGAUGUAUGAUUUCAUUCAAAAGAGUACAAAUAAAACUAAUAUUGCUAACGACAAAACUAUACCUAAAGAACUUCAUGACAAUGUGUUACCCAGUACCUCAAAUUCAAAAAUAGUCAAUCCUGACAACUCAGCUACAUCUGUAGAAGGUAUUAUUAUUGAUGUUCAUUGACAUUUACAUUUAAAAUGUAUAAUUUAACAAAAAUAGUGUACACUGAAUUUCAAAUUACCAAUUUUUGUUUUUUUUUAACCUAAUUGAUUUGAGUUCUAUGUAUUUAAUAUAGUUGAUGAAUUUUAGUAAUAAAUGUUUUAAUUAUGUUGGAAAGUAAAUAUACGGUAUAUAAUGGUAAAUAAUUGUUAAAUGUUAGUACAUGAGUUAAAAUUUGUGAUUAAAUAUUUAUUUAUUAAAACAAAAA